AAACAAGGGCGAAGCCGGCAUACGGGCACCAACGGACGCAAGGCUCGAAAGUGUGGUUGCAAACAGGAUAGAUUACCCUGGUAGUCCACACCGUAAACGAUGAGUACUAGGUGUUGGAGGAUUGACCCCUUCAGUGCCGCAGGUAACACAAUAAGUAAUCCACCUGGGGAGUACGACCGCAAGGUUGAAACUCAAAGGAAUUGACGGGGGCCCGCACAAGCAGUGGAGUAUGUGGUUAAAUUCGACGCAACGCGAAGAACCUUACCAAGUCUUGACAUCCCUUGACAGGCAUAGAAAUAUGUUUUCUCUUCGGAGCAAGGAGACAGGUGGUGCAUGGUNGUCGUCAGCUCGUGUCGUGAGAUGUUGGGUUAAGUCCCGCAACGAGCGCAACCCUUAUGGUCAGNUACUACGCAAGAGGACUCUGGCCAGACUGCCGUUGACAAAACGGAGGAAGGUGGGGAUGACGUCAAAUCAUCAUGCCCUUUAUGACUUGGGCUACACACGUACUACAAUGGCGUUAAACAAAGAGAAGCAAGACCGCGAGGUGGAGCAAAACUCAGAAACAACGUCCCAGUUCGGACUGCAGGCUGCAACUCGCCUGCACGAAGUCGGAAUUGCUAGUAAUCGUGGAUCAGCAUGCCACGGUGAAUACGUUCCCGGGCCUUGUACACACCGCCCGUCACACCAUGAGAGCCGGGGGGACCCGAAGUCGGUAGUCUAACCGCAAGGAGGACGCCGCCGAAGGUAAAACUGGUGAUUGGGGUGAAGUCGUAACAAGGUAGCCGUAGGAGAACCUGCGGCUG
rnacentral:rRNA from 1 species